rnacentral:lncRNA from 1 species
CUUUAAUGAGCUUAACCCGGACUCGCGUGGACUAACGACCUCCUUAGCCGUUCUUCGCGAGGAACCCCAAAAUUGGGCGGACUCGUAAGCCAGAGCAAACCGAGAGAGAUCUUCCCUUCGUCCUCACCGCUGCCUUCCCUUCGUCCUUCGUCCUCAUCGCUGCCUUCCCUUCGUCCUCAUCUCAGCGUCCCGUCGAAGCCGGUGCGGAAGACGAGUUCCGUGGCCAGAGGGGUCACAAGUACCGCCCCGUCGUCGACAACGAUCGGGCCGUGCUCGAGAUGUCGCCCAUGGAUCCUUCCUCCUCCUCUUCUUCGUCGUCUUCUCUCCCGGUU